GUAGAUAGCCAUACUACUGACUGCCAAGUAUUCCCAAUUUCUCAUUACGGUACUGCAGCAAAAGGUUUUUUGCUGGUAGAUCAGUCGAAGAUCUGCAAUGGAGUCUUCACUACUGACAUCACCGGCGGCAAUUUCUCGUUUGGCAGCAUCGAGAACUGUCAAUUGCAAUUGCAGUCCUCUAAUUUCUCAGUUCCACCGCCAUUUUUCUACUAGGUCAACUCAGUUUGUACUGAUGAGUCAACUCGCUCGAUUCCACCUUCGAGCUGUAUGUAACGGUGAGGUUCGAGGUCUGAACCGGUUCGGGUCGGUUUCUCUGUCGGGAAGUUUGGCAGCGGCGAAUUUGCGCCCGGUUCAGAAGGACUUGCGGAGUGUUUCUCGUUCCGCAGCUUCUUUUGCAGCUAGUGGUGGAGGAAAUGAUAACCCCAGAGGUAAUGGCGGUGGCGGCGGUGGCAAUGGAGAUGGUGCGACGGACGGUGGUAAGGAAAAUCCUAGUGUUGUUGCUGAAACGGGUGAAGAUAUAUCUGCUUUGUCCUCUGAUGUCAUUAUCCUAGAUGUUACCGGAAUGACAUGCGGUGGCUGUGCAUCGAGUGUGAAGAGAAUUUUAGAAAGUCAACCACAAGUUUCUUCUGCUACUGUAAAUCUUACGACGGAGACAGCAAUAGUGUGGCCAGUAUCUGACGCUAAGGUUGUACCAAAUUGGCAAAAGCAGUUAGGGGAGGCUCUUGCAAAGCAUUUGAGUACCUGUGGGUUCAAAUCUAACGUUCGAGGUGAGGGAGCCAUUGAAGGGGAAUUUCCAUCAUGAAAUGCAAAAGCUUUCUUGAAAUGAGCAACCAUUGUCCUUCAUGGUGAGAGUUUCAGCAGCAAGAAUUGGUGGAUAUGUUGAAGGGAGGAAUUUCUACGAGGAGGCUCAUGCAUUUUGAAUUAUUGUACUGAGACAAGUUUAUAAAUGUUAUUAGUUAAUAGGACCUAUGUUCAAAUAAAAUUUUGUAGUUCUCGCCGUGAAGACAUUAACUAUAAGGAUGUGCCAGUUGUGUGCUUCCUUGUAUCUUACCCAUUCACUAUGAGAAGGGGAACUUUUCGAUUCUGCAAUCUGUUAUUAUGGUGGAAUUUGCAACUGUUG
rnacentral:misc_RNA from 1 species